rnacentral:rRNA from 1 species
UCGAGCGGAAAGGCCCUUCGGGGUACUCGAGCGGCGAACGGGUGAGCUAACACGUGAGUAACCUGCCCCUGACUCUGGGAUAAGCCUGGGAAACCGGGUCUAAUACCGGAUAUGACACUCCUCCGCAUGGUGUGGGUGUGGAAAGUUUUUUCGGUUGGGGAUGGACUCGCGGCCUAUCAGCUUGUUGGUGGGGUGAUGGCCUACCAAGGCGACGACGGGUAGCCGGCCUGAGAGGGCGACCGGCCACACUGGGACUGAGACACGGCCCAGACUCCUACGGGAGGCAGCAGUGGGGAAUAUUGCGCAAUGGGCGAAAGCCUGACGCAGCGACGCCGCGUGGGGGAUGACGGCCUUCGGGUUGUAAACCUCUUUCAGCAGGGACGAAGUUGACGUGUACCUGUAGAAGAAGCGCCGGCUAACUACGUGCCAGCAGCCGCGGUAAUACGUAGGGCGCGAGCGUUGUCCGGAAUUAUUGGGCGUAAAGAGCUCGUAGGUGGCUUGUUGCGUCUGCCGUGAAAGCCCGUGGCUUAACUACGGGUCUGCGGUGGAUACGGGCAGGCUAGAGGCUGGUAGGGGCAAGCGGAAUUCCUGGUGUAGCGGUGAAAUGCGCAGAUAUCAGGAGGAACACCGGUGGCGAAGGCGGCUUGCUGGGCCAGUUCUGACGCUGAGGAGCGAAAGCGUGGGGAGCGAACAGGAUUAGAUACCCUGGUAGUCCACGCUGUAAACGUUGGGCGCUAGGUGUGGGGNUCUUCCACGAUCUCUGUGCCGUAGCUAACGCAUUAAGCGCCCCGCCUGGAGAGUACG